GUGGGGAAUCUUGCGCAAUGGGCGAAAGCCUGACGCAGCCAUGCCGCGUGAAUGAUGAAGGUCUUAGGAUUGUAAAAUUCUUUCACCGGGGACGAUAAUGACGGUACCCGGAGAAGAAGCCCCGGCUAACUUCGUGCCAGCAGCCGCGGUAAUACGAAGGGGGCUAGCGUUGCUCGGAAUUACUGGGCGUAAAGGGCGCGUAGGCGGACAGUUUAGUCAGAGGUGAAAGCCCAGGGCUCAACCUUGGAAUUGCCUUUGAUACUGGCUGUCUUGAGUUUGGGAGAGGUGAGUGGAACUCCGAGUGUAGAGGUGAAAUUCGUAGAUAUUCGGAGGAACACCAGUGGCGAAGGCGGCUCACUGGCUCGAUACUGACGCUGAGGUGCGAAAGCGUGGGGAGCAAACAGGAUUAGAAACCCCGGUAGUCC
rnacentral:rRNA from 1 species